AUGCAGUUCGAACGCGAAAAGUUCCCUUCGGGGAGCGAGUAGAGUGGCGCACGGCCNUUUUAACACGUAGGUAAUUUGCCUUUGGGUGGGGAAUACCANCCGGAAACGGUUGUUAAUACCGCAUAAUGCAGCGGCAUCACAUGAUGACAGUUGUUAAAGCGGGGGAUUGGAGCAAUCCGACCUCGCGCCUGAAGAGAAGCCUGCGGCAGAUUAGGUAGUUGGUGAGGUAAUGGCUCACCAAGCCUGCGAUCUGUAACCGGCCUGAGAGGGCGGUCGGUCACACUGACACUGACAUACGGGUCAGACUCCUACGGGAGGCAGCAGUCGGGAAUUUUGGGCAAUGGGCGAAAGCCUGACCCAGCAACGCCGCGUGAAGGAUGAAAUUUUUCGGAAUGUAAACUUCGCAAGAAUGGGAAGAAUAAGUAGGGGACAAUACCCCCUAUGAUGACGGUACCAUUUGUAAGCUCCGGCUAACUUCGUGCCAGCAGCCGCGGUAAUACGAGGGGAGCAAGCGUUGUUCGGAUUUACUGGGCGUAAAGGGCGCGUAGGCGGCUCUACAAGUCACUUGUGAAAUCUCCGGGCUUAACUCGGAACGGUCAAGUGAUACUGUCGAGCUAGAGUGCAGAAGGGGCAAUUGGAAUUCUCGGUGUAGCGGUGAAAUGCGUAGAUAUCGAGAGGAACACCAGAGGCGAAGGCGGAUUGCUGGGCUGACACUGACGCUGAGGCGCGAAAAGCUAGGGGAGCGAACGGGGAUUAGAUACCCGGUAGUCCUAGCCUUUAAACGAUGAAUGCUUGGUGUCUCGGGUUACAUAUNCCCGGGGUGCCGUCGCUA
rnacentral:rRNA from 1 species